GCGCUCGUAGCUCAACCGGAUAGAGCAACGGCCUUCUAAGCCGUAGGUUACAGGUUCGAUUCCUGUCGAGCGUGCCA
rnacentral:tRNA from 1 species